rnacentral:rRNA from 1 species
GACGAACGCUGGCGGCGUGCCUAAUACAUGCAAGUUGAGCGCUGAAGGUUGGUACUUGUACCAACUGGAUGAGCAGCGAACGGGUGAGUAACGCGUGGGGAAUCUGCCUUUGAGCGGGGGACAACAUUUGGAAACGAAUGCUAAUACCGCAUAAAAACUUUAAACACAAGUUUUAAGUUUGAAAGAUGCAAUUACAUCACUCAAAGAUGAUCCCGCGUUGUAUUAGCUAGUUGGUGAGGUAAAGGCUCACCAAGGCGAUGAUACAUAGCCGACCUGAGAGGGUGAUCGGCCACAUUGGGACUGAGACACGGCCCAAACGCCUACGGGAGGCAGCAGUAGGGAAUCUUCGGCAAUGGACGAAAGUCUGACCGAGCAACGCCGCGUGAGUGAAGAAGGUUGUCGGAUCGUAAAACUCUGUUGGUAGAGAAGAACGUUGGUGAGAGUGGAAAGCUCAUCAAGUGACGGUAACUACCCAGAAAGGGACGGCUAACUACGUG